rnacentral:rRNA from 1 species
AAGCGAAACUGCGAAGUGGAGCAAAACUCUAAAAACAAUCUCAGUUCAGAUUGCAGGCUGCAACUCGCCUGCAUGAAGUCGGAAUUGCUAGUAAUCGUAGGUCAGCAUACUACGGUGAAUACGUUCCCGGGCCUUGUACACACCGCCCGUCAAACCAUGAGAGUUGGCAACACCCGAAGUCGGUAGUCUAACCGCAAGGAGGACGCCGCCGAAGGUGGGGUUGAUGAUUAGGGUUAAGUCGUAACAAGGUAAC